UACGGAGGGUGCAAGCGUUAUCCGGAUUCACUGGGUUUAAAGGGUGCGUAGGCGGGCAGGUAAGUCCGUGGUGAAAUCUCUGAGCUUAACUCAGAAACUGCCAUGGAUACUAUUUGUCUUGAAUAUUGUGGAGGUAAGCGGAAUAUGUCAUGUAGCGGUGAAAUGCUUAGAUAUGACAUAGAACACCAAUUGCGAAGGCAGCUUACUACAC
rnacentral:rRNA from 1 species